rnacentral:rRNA from 1 species
UACGUAGGGUGCGAGCGUUAAUCGGAAUUACUGGGCGUAAAGCGCACGUAGGCGGCUUUGUAAGUUAGAGGUGAAAGCCCAGGGCUUAACCCUGGAAUUGCCUUUAAGACUGCAUCGCUAGAAUCGUGGAGAGGUAAGUGGAAUUCCGAGUGUAGAGGUGAAAUUCGUAGAUAUUCGGAAGAACACCAGUGGCGAAGGCGACUUACUGGACACGUAUUGACGCUGAGGUGCGAAAGCGUGGGGAGCAAACAGG